UACGGAGGGUGCAAGCGUUAUCCGGAUUCACUGGGUUUAAAGGGUGCGUAGGUGGGCCUGUAAGUCAGCGGUGAAAUCCUGUUGCUUAACAACAGAACUGCCAUUGAUACUGUUUGGCUUGAGUAUAGUUGCUGUGGGCGGAAUAUGACAUGUAGUGGUGAAAUACAUAGAGAUGUCAUAGAACACCGAUUGCGAAGGCAGCUCACAAAACUAUAACUGACGCUGAGGCACGAAAGUGCGGGGAUCAAACAGG
rnacentral:rRNA from 1 species